rnacentral:rRNA from 1 species
GAUGAACGCUAGCGGGAGGCUUAACACAUGCAAGUCGAGGGGCAGCAUAAGGUAGCAAUACUUUGAUGGCGACCGGCGCACGGGUGAGUAACACGUAUGUAACCUACCCUGUACAGGGGGAUAGCCCGGAGAAAUUCGGAUUAAUACCCCAUAAAGAUAUUUAGAGGCAUCUUUUAAUAUUUAAAGCUUCGGCGGUACGGGAUGGGCAUGCGCAACAUUAGCUAGUUGGUAGGGUAACGGCCUACCAAGGCUACGAUGUUUAGGGGACCUGAGAGGGUGAUCCCCCACACUGGUACUGAGACACGGACCAGACUCCUACGGGAGGCAGCAGUGAGGAAUAUUGGUCAAUGGGCGUAAGCUUGAACCAGCCAUCCCGCGUGCAGGAAGACGGCGCUAUGCGUUGUAAACUGCUUUUCCGGGGGAAGAAAACCCGCUACGAGUAGCGGCUUGCCGGUACCCUGGGAAUAAGCAUCGGCUAACUCCGUGCCAGCAGCCGCAGUAAUAC